GAUCAUGGCUCAGGAUAAACGCUGGCGGCGUGCCUAAUACAUGCAAGUCGAACGAAGAGAGCUAGCUUGCUAGAGCUCUUAGUGGCGAACGGGUGAGUAAUACAUAAGCAACCUACCUGCAGGGACCGGGAUAACGCUUGGAAACGAGUGCUAAAACCGGAUAGGUAAUAACGGGGCAUCCCGAUAUUAUUAAAGGAGAGAAACAUAAGCAGAUGGGCUUAUGGUGCAUUAGUUAGUUGGUG
rnacentral:rRNA from 1 species